rnacentral:rRNA from 1 species
GAUGAACGCUAGCGACAGGCCUAACACAUGCAAGUCGAGGGGCAGCACAAGGAUAGCAAUAUUCUGGUGGCGACCGGCGCACGGGUGAGUAACACGUAUGCAACCUACCUGUAAGAGGGGAAUAACCCGGAGAAAUUCGGACUAACACCGCAUAAUACUGUUGAACUGCAUGGUUUAACAGUUAAAUAUUUAUAGCUUACAGAUGGGCAUGCGUAUGAUUAGAUAGUUGGUAGGGUAACGGCCUACCAAGUCAACGAUCAUUAGGGGUUCUGAGAGGAAGGUCCCCCACAUUGGAACUGAGACACGGUCCGAACUCCUACGGGAGGCAGCAGUGAGGAAUAUUGGUCAAUGGGCGAGAGCCUGAACCAGCCAAGUCUCGUGAAGGAAGAAGGUUCUAUGGAUUGUAAACUUCUUUUGUAAGGGAAUAAAAUGCGCUACGUGUAGUGUUUUGUAUGUACUUUACGAAUAAGGAUCGGCUAACUCCGUGCCAGCAGCCGCGGUAAUACGGAGGAUGCAAGCGUUAUCCGGAUUCAUUGGGUUUAAAGGGUGCGUAGGCGGUUUUUUAAGUCAGUGGUGAAAUCCUGCGGCUCAACCGUAGAACUGCCAUUGAUACUGAAAAACUUGAAUAUAGUUGAGGUAGGCGGAAUGAGUAGUGUAGCGGUGAAAUGCUUAGAUAUUAUUCAGAACACCGAUUGCGAAGGCAGCUUGCUAAGCUAUAAUUGACGCUGAGGCACGAAAGCGUGGGGAUCAAACAGGAUUAGAUACCCUGGUAGUCCACGCCGUAAACGGUGUUCACUCGCUGUUUGCGAUGUACAGUAAGCGGCCAAGCGAAAGCAUUAAGUGAACCACCUGGGGAGUACGUCGGCAACGGUG